rnacentral:rRNA from 1 species
GACGAACGCUGGCGGCGUGCUUAACACAUGCCAGUCGAACGGAAAGGCCCUGCUUGCAGGGUACUCGAGUGGCGAACGGGUGAGUAACACGUGGGUGAUCUGCCCUGCACUUCGGGAUAAGCCUGGGAAACUGGGUCUAAUACCGGAUAGGAGCCAUUUUUAGUGUGAUGGUUGGAAAGUUUUUUCGGUGUAGGAUGAGCUCGCGGCCUAUCAGCUUGUUGGUGGGGUAAUGGCCUACCAAGGCGGCGACGGGUAGCCGGCCUGAGAGGGUGGACGGCCACAUUGAGACUGAGAUACGGCCCAGACGCCUACGAGAGGCAGCAGUGGGGAAUAUUGCACAAUGGGCGCAAGCCUGAUGCAGCGACGCCGCGUGGGGGAUGACGGCCUUCGGGUUGUAAACUCCUUUCGCUAGGGACGAAGCUUUUUGUGACGGUACCUAGAUAAGAAGCACCGGCUAACUACGUG